rnacentral:rRNA from 1 species
AACGAACGCUGGCGGCAUGCAUAACACAUGCAAGUCGAACGAAGCCUUCGGGCUUAGUGGCGCACGGGUGCGUAACGCGUGGGAAUCUGCCCUUGGGUUCGGAAUAACAGUUAGAAAUGACUGCUAAUACCGGAUGAUGUCUUCGGACCAAAGAUUUAUCGCCCAAGGAUGAGCCCGCGUCGGAUUAGCUAGUUGGUGAGGUAAAGGCUCACCAAGGCCACGAUCCGUAGCUGGUCUGAGAGGAUGAUCAGCCACACUGGGACUGAGACACGUCCCAGACUCCUACGGGAGGCAGCAGUGGGGAAUACUGGACAAUGGACGAAAGCCUGACGCAGCCAUGCCGCGUGGAUGAUGAAGGUCUUAGGAUUGUAAAAUCCUUUCACCGGUGAAGAUAAUGACGGUAGCCGGAGAAGAAGCCCCGGCUAACUUCGUGCCAGCAGCCGCCGUAAGAC